CCGCCGCGCUGCCUUGGAAUACGAUAAGGCGGUGCAAUGUUGUGCCGCGCUCUGUUCACAAUAAUCGCCGUAUCAUGUACGUUCCCACGUAUAAAACACGUACACGCUCAGGGCACACAGCGUAUAGUUCAGAUAAAAGGUUUCAAUUAAUAUUGUCAAUUAACAAUUGAGUUUAACAAACUAAUAAUAUCAACGAGUGGUUAAAACAUUUUAAAUGCGUUUGAAUUAAAAGUUUUUUUGAAAUAGCAAUUCGUGGACAGUGUUUAGGCAAUAAAUUUGAUAUGUGUACUUAUAUUGAGUGGUUUACAAAAGGAAGAUCUGGAUGUGAACAUGUUGAAGAAACUUGAACGUCAUGGCUUGAAUAUUAAUGAUAUGAACAAUGAGAAUCUGAGGGAUGAUUGUUUAAACAGCGCAAAAACAACUGUUAAAGAUGAAUAUUCAAAUACUGAAGCUACAACAUCAA